rnacentral:rRNA from 1 species
GAUGAACGCUGGCGGCGUGCCUAACACAUGCAAGUCGAACGGAGUCCAGCCUUUAAGACCUUCGGGUCAAAGAGGGGAAGACUGAGUGGCGGACGGGUGAGUAACACGUGGGCAACCUGGCUCAUAGAGGGGGAUAACAGAGAGAAAUUUCUGCUAAUACCGCAUAAGCACACACUGCCGCAUGGCAGAGGGUGAAAAGAGAAUCGCUAUGAGAUGGACCCGCGUCUGAUUAGCCAGUUGGCAGGGUAAGAGCCUACCAAAGCGACGAUCAGUAGCCGAUCUGAGAGGAUGGACGGCCACAUUGGGACUGAGACACGGCCCAAACUCCUACGGGAGGCAGCAGUGGGGGAUAUUGCACAAUGGGGGGAACCCUGAUGCAGCGACGCCGCGUGAGUGAAGAAGUAUUUCGGUAUGUAAAGCUCUAUCAGCAGGGAAGAUAAUGACAGUACCUGAAUAAGAAGCCCCGGCUAACUACGUG